GAACAUUGAAGACUUCAUACCACCCAGUCAGGAUGCAGAUGACCGGCUUUCUUAUUUGGAAAGCAUUCUGGCUGCCUCUGCAUUGAGACCACAUACAUGCGAAGUUCUGCGGAAUGUGUGGACAUUUCCUAGCGAACAGGCACCUUGCAGGUUCUAUUUCAGCUGUGCUUCCUGUAGCAGACAGUGUUCCCGAGAACGAGAGGCAGGAGCUGACCGAGGCCAUGUCUGCCGAGAUGCUGCGCCGCUGCCGCAAGAGUCCGGCUGGAUUCAGUGCCGAGUUUGACGUCUAUGUUGUGCAUGCCUCCCGAUCUGCUGCCUCUAGUCCGCCACAAUGAUCGACAAUGCACAGCUACUCGAAAUCGAGAGGGUGUGGCUUGUCGCACCUCUGUAACACGACUUGUUCAUAAGACAACAGCGUAAAUUCGCACUAGUGUGGAGAACUGGGCUAGUUAAUAUGCACGCACUGACCGUUGUUGUUGAGAGAUGCAUUAGAACUGUUUGCUGCAUCGAACCAAUCAUCCAUGAAUGAACCUCUGAAAAUGGCUCCCCUUUCAUACCCCUUAUUCUGACAAAGCACAUAUUGUGUGGCCCAUCAUGUGCCCUAUCUCAUAUCCCACUUAUCGCAAAAAUAGCCUUGAUUCACUGUUUAACAGUAUAAGUUAUGUUGUGGCAUAUGUACGGUAGUUGAAUGGGUCACACACCACAGCUGUUGUAUACCCACAUGUUGACUAUAAUGAGCUGUGCCGACACCUCUUGUGCUUGCUUCCACACAGACAAGCCACACUCCUUUCUAGCUACUUAUAACCUACUCAUUUAUCAACCCUAUCAUCUCAUGAUAAUAAACAAAAGCAAAUAGCGGUUUCUGGGUUUGUGCCUUUCAUUUAUGAUGUAGCUGAGCAAUGUGCAAUAAAAGUAUAAAACAUGCAUUGCGUUUGUGAUAU